GAGUGCUUGCACUCAAUUGGAAAGAGGAGUGGCGGACGGGUGAGUAACACGUGGGUAACCUACCCAUCAGAGGGGGAUAACACUUGGAAACAGGUGCUAAUACCGCAUAACAGUUUAUGCCGCAUGGCAUAAGAGUGAAAGGCGCUUUCGGGUGUCGCUGAUGGAUGGACCCGCGGUGCAUUAGCUAGUUGGUGAGGUAACGGCUCACCAAGGCCACGAUGCAUAGCCGACCUGAGAGGGUGAUCGGCCACACUGGGACUGAGACACGGCCCAGACUCCUACGGGAGGCAGCAGUAGGGAAUCUUCGGCAAUGGACGAAAGUCUGACCGAGCAACGCCGCGUGAGUGAAGAAGGUUUUCGGAUCGUAAAACUCUGUUGUUAGAGAAGAACAAGGACGUUAGUAACUGAACGUCCCCUGACGGUAUCUAACCAGAAAGCCACGGCUAACUACGUGCCAGCAGCCGCGGUAAUACGUAGGUGGCAAGCGUUGUCCGGAUUUAUUGGGCGUAAAGCGAGCGCAGGCGGUUUCUU
rnacentral:rRNA from 1 species